rnacentral:rRNA from 1 species
GAGCACGUAGGUGGGUUUGUAAGUCAGAUGUGAAAGCCUUCUGUUCAACGGAAGAAUUGCAUCUGAAACUACGAAUCUUGAGUGUAGGAGGGGAGAAUGGAACUUCUGGUGGAGCGGUGAAAUGCGUAGAUAUCAGAAGGAACGCCGGCGGCAAAAGCGAUUCUCUGGCCUAUUACUGACACUCAGUGUGCGAAAGCUAGGGGAGCAACCGGGAUUAGAUACCCCGGUAGUCCUAGCCGUAAACGAUGGGCACUAAGUAGAGGGUUUUU